GUGGAAUGAAAUAAAAUCCACACCAAAAUAAAACCCAUAACAGAACCGUGUUGACCUAGAGACUCCAGGACUUCAGGAGGAAUUUGCAGGCAAUUUUGUGGCUCCUCUCCUUUGCCUCAGCUCCAACCACAGCCUCAGCACUAAUAAAUGUAUUUACAAGUGGUUUUUGCUCACUCCAUUGAAUCAGCGUGCCCAGGGGCGUGUGAAGAGUUUGAGUCAUCUCUGAGUCAGCUCCUCUGAGCACACAGAACCCGAGGCCAGCAGCUGCAGAAAGGGAAUUUUUCUGGAUGAUGGAGAAGGAACCAUCCUGGCACGAAAGGUCUCAGGCUCCAGGCACGGAUGACGCCGUCAGGAUUCAGAGGAAGAAGCUGACACUGAGCAGACAGAAUCCUGUGUUUGAAUGGAAUUUAUGCAUCAUGGAUGAAUAUUCAACAGGAUUUUUUCUCCUGAGAAGCUGAGAGGCCUCAGAGGAAAAGAAAACCAAUAAUUAUCUGCUGCUGUGGAAUGCAACAGGUGCAUCUUUGAUUGGUCCAUGUGAGUUGUUUCUACUUGAUGACCAAUGACAGCCACCUGUGUCGAGGCUGUGAGCAGCCACAAGAUUUUAUUGUAAUUUCAUUCCAUUUCCUUCAUUUCAAGCCUUCUGAUGAAAUCCUUUCUUCUAUUCUUUUAGUAUAUUUUCUUUCAAUAUAAUAGAUAUAAUUUAAUUAC
rnacentral:lncRNA from 1 species